rnacentral:rRNA from 1 species
GACGAACGCUGGCGGCGUGCUUAACACAUGCAAGUCGAACGAGCGGCGGACGGGUGAGUAAUGACUGGGAAACUGCCCGAUGGAGGGGGAUAACUACUGGAAACGGUAGCUAAUACCGCAUACCAUCGGAUGUGCCCAGAUGGGAUUAGCUAGGAGGUGGGGUCACGGCUCACCUAGGAGACGAUCCCUAGCUGGUCUGAGAGGAGGACCAGCACCACUGGAACUGAGACACGGUCCGUACGCCUACGGGAGGCAGCAGUGGGGAAUAUUGCACAAUGGGCGCAAGCCUGAUGCAGCCAUGCCGCGUGUGUGAAGAAGGCCUUCGGGUUGUAAAGUACUUUCAGCGAGGAUGCGUUACUCGCAGAAGAAGCACCGGCUAACUCCGUGCCAGCCGCCGCGGUAAUAC